rnacentral:rRNA from 1 species
UACGAAGGGGGCUAGCGUUGCUCGGAAUUACUGGGCGUAAAGGGCGCGUAGGCGGCCUGUUAAGUCGGACGUGAAAUCCCCGGGCUCAACCCGGGAACUGCGUCCGAUACUGGCAGGCUUGAAUCCGGGAGAGGGAUGUGGAAUUCCAGGUGUAGCGGUGAAAUGCGUAGAUAUCUGGAGGAACACCGGUGGCGAAGGCGGCAUCCUGGACCGGCAUUGACGCUGAGGCGCGAAAGCCAGGGAAGCAAACGGG